GAUGAACGCUGGCGGUAUGCUUAACACAUGCAAGUCGAACGGGAUAUCUUCGGAUAUUUAGUGGCGGACGGGUGAGUAACGCGUGAGAACAUGCCCUUAGGUUCGGGACAACAGUUGGAAACGACUGCUAAUACCGAAUGUGCCGAGAGGUGAAAGAUUAAUUGCCUAGGGAUUGGCUCGCGUCAGAUUAGCUAGUUGGUAGAGUAACGGUUUACCAAGGCGACGAUCUGAACUGGUCUGAGAGGAUGACCAGUCACACUGGGACUGAGACACGGCCCAGACUCCUACGGGAGGCAGCAGUGGGGAAUUUUCCGCAAUGGGCGAAAGCCUGACGGAGCAAUACCGCGUGAGGGAGGACGGCUCUUGGGUUGUAAACCUUCUUUUCUCAGGAUGAUAAUGACAGUACCGUGGGAAUAAGCCCCGGCUAACUACGUGCCAGCCGCCGCUGUAAC
rnacentral:rRNA from 1 species